GUUCAGAAGCUCUAUAUUAAAGACUGGGACGUGCGCCGGAGUUAACGCCAGAACAGGCGUCUUGUUCAUUUACAUCCGGCUUCACUUUCGAUUCCCUCGGGUUAUACAACUGCUUUACGUUCAGUUAAGAAAACCGUCACAUAAAUACUUCACAUUGGCUGUUUAAUAACAUGCUAUGUUUACUGACUGAUAUUACUGUUCACAUUCUGAUUUCUGACAUUCACACAAGACAUUCGCGCUGAAUGUCGUUGUAAUCUACACAAAGAGACGUGUGUUGUUGUUGCUAUAUCAUCUGAAUAUUAGUCUAAAAUCUUCAAUUUUCACCAUGGAAAGUUUCAAGGUAAGGAUGUUAUAGUUCCAUGGUAUGGGAGUUGGGGGUUAUCUUCAUUCUUCGCUGGUGAGUAAUUCAAAAAGGAUGAUGACACAGUCAUCACUAUUGUCACCUAAACACAGACAGUGAUACGUCGUUUGUAUGUUUCAGAAUAUGUAUGAUCUGAUGAGAAGUGAGGGGUCCGUAUGGAAUUAAGCCAUAUGCCUGCUCGUAGACUGAAUUUUAAUUUGCCGGAAGUUUGGUAAGGUAAUAUUAAGUAAGGGAUCCGUAUGGAAUUAAGCCAAUAUGCCAACUGAAUUUUAAUUUGCCGGAAGUUUGGUAAGGUAAAAUUAAGUCUGCGGGGUUUACCACAUAUGUGAAUAUUGUGAAUAUCAUCAAUUGGAUUUAAACCAAUCAUAUCUGAAUGUUUAACGUCACAGGCUAUGUCAAGUAGAGAGGAACCAAUGGCAAUAGCAUGCAGACGAGCGGGUCUAAGACAGACAAGACUUGGAAAUUUUGUGAAACAACUCUCAUCGGUGCAUGUCACGCAUACUGAGCAUAGCCUUCAUAGGCAUACAGCGUAGAGAGAAAAUCACCCAUAAAAAGCAACGUUCCAAGCCAUGGUUGUCUUUGAGAUAAUAAUUAAAAUAAGAUCCACGUGGAUUCACGUAAUUGUUAUUGUGGAGAGAAACGAUUCAUCAUCGCAGCUGCAAGAAUGUAUCACAGAAACAUUAGAUUGACACUCUGACAGAGCCGGUAGUAUUGAAGAUAAC